AUUAAACGCUGGCGGCAUGCCUUACACAUGCAAGUCGAACGGUAGCGCGGGGCAACCUGGCGACGAGUGGCGAACGGGUGAGUAAAGCAUCGGAACGUGCCCUGGAAUGGGGGAUAACGUAGCGAAAGUUACGCUAAUACCGCAUAUUCUGUGAGCAGGAAAGCAGGGGAUCGCAAGACCUUGCGUUCUGGGAGCGGCCGAUGUCGGAUUAGCUAGUUGGUGGGGUAAAAGCCUACCAAGGCGACGAUCCGUAGCGGGUCUGAGAGGAUGAUCCGCCACACUGGGACUGAGACACGGCCCAGACUCCUACGGGAGGCAGCAGUGGGGAAUUUUGGACAAUGGGCGCAAGCCUGAUCCAGCAAUGCCGCGUGGGUGAAGAAGGCCUGCGGGUUGUAAAGCCCUUUAAGCGGGGAGGAAAGCCGGGGGGUGAAUAGCGCCUCGGGGUGACGUUACCCGCAGAAUAAGCACCGGCUAACUCCGUGCCAGCAGCCGCGGUAAU
rnacentral:rRNA from 1 species